rnacentral:lncRNA from 1 species
AGUAGAAGCAACAUGUAUGAGUGAACGUGCAAGUGAAUCUUGAUUUAACCACAUGACAAGCUCCUAAGGGUCUACACAGCUUGACCACACUCAAUGCUCAUAAGCAGUAAGUAAAUGUGUGGCUCAAAGUCUAGCAAGCAUGUAUAUAUAGCUGUGGUAGGAAUUUAAACUCUCAUCAUACAUGAACUCAUCAUGCAAUAUUUUAAAGAUUUUUCAAAGAUAAAAUUCUCCAGAAUUCUAGCAUCUCUAGGAACAGAUAAA